GAUGAACGCUGGCGGCGUGCCUAAUACAUGCAAGUCGAGCGAACAGACGAGGAGCUUGCUCCUCUGACGUUAGCGGCGGACGGGUGAGUAACACGUGGAUAACCUACCUAUAAGACUGGGAUAACUUCGGGAAACCGGAGCUAAUACCGGAUAAUAUAUUGAACCGCAUGGUUCAAUAGUGAAAGACGGUUUUGCUGUCACUUAUAGAUGGAUCCGCGCCGCAUUAGCUAGUUGGUAAGGUAACGGCUUACCAAGGCGACGAUGCGUAGCCGACCUGAGAGGGUGAUCGGUCACACUGGAACUGAGACACGGUCCAGACUCCUACGGGAGGCAGCAGUAGGGAAUCUUCCGCAAUGGGCGAAGGCCUGACGGAGCAACGCCGCGUGAGUGAUGAAGGUCUUCGGAUCGUAAAACUCUGUUAUUAGGGAAGAACAAAUGUGUAAGUAACUAUGCACGUCUUGACGGUACCUAAUCAGAAAGCCACGGCUAACUACGUG
rnacentral:rRNA from 1 species